rnacentral:rRNA from 1 species
UUAUCAAAAGCUCAAUUUUGUACUGGAUCGGGGCAUCCUAUUAGUAAACCCAUUUGGACAGAUUUAUCAGAUUGGGAUAUUCUUAAUGGAUUUGGUAGAAUAUGUAGAAAUCUUUUUCAUUUAAAAACGGACUUCGUAUCGACUAAAGUAUAUACUUCGACGUUCAUGGGCUAG